GUUCAAUUGAACGGGCCAAUGCUUGUCUCUUAGUCAGAAGAUUUUUGGGCCUGAAUUCAUUAGGACGCUGGUAAUUUUUCCCACGAUAGAGUAUAAUUGCAUAGCCUUGGGUAGUCUUAUCUAUAGAUACCAAAAGGCCACCACUUUCAGCCUCAAGAGUAAUUGCAAUGUGUUUUAUUUGUGCUGCAUUCCUCCUCUCCGC
rnacentral:misc_RNA from 1 species